rnacentral:rRNA from 1 species
UACGAAGGGGGCUAGCGUUGCUCGGAAUUACUGGGCGUAAAGGGCGCGUAGGCGGGCAUUUAAGUCAGAGGUCAAAUCCCAGGGCUCAACCUUGGAACUGCCUUUGAUACUGGAAGCCUAGAGUUCGGGAGAGGUGUGUGGAACGCCGAGUGUAGAGGUGAAAUUCGUAGAUAUUCGGCAGAACACCAGUGGCGAAGGCGACACACUGGCCCGAUACUGACGCUGAGGCGCGAAAGCGUGGGGAGCAAACAGG